UACAGAGGGUGCGAGCGUUGUUCGGAAUUAUUGGGCGUAAAGGGCGCGUAGGCGGUGCGGUAAGUCACCUGUGAAAUCUCCUGGCUCAACUGGGAGCUUGCAGGCGAAACUGCCGUGCUGGAGUGUGGGAGAGGUGCGUGGAAUUCCCGGUGUAGCGGUGAAAUGCGCAGAUAUCGGGAGGAACACCUGUGGCGAAAGCGGCGCACUGGACCACAACUGACGCUGAGGCGCGAAAGCUAGGGGAGCAAACAGG
rnacentral:rRNA from 1 species